rnacentral:lncRNA from 1 species
CACAACAAAUACUCAUUUUAAACCAUACAAAUACUGAGCUUGUGAAACACCUAUUCCACAAAAGCUUCCUACUUUCUAGAUGCGAGUUUCUCCUUUGUAAAUAUGUCGGAUGCACCAGUACUAAUCAAUGAAAAAAAUCAAACUAAAACUCCAAACUCAUGUUUAUGAUUGUUUUUCUUCCCUUUUCUUUCAUGUAAGGCUUUGUUUGCGAGUUUGGAGGGGAAGGCUUGGGAAAAAAAGAAUAAGUAAGUGGAAGAAAUAGAGGAAAAUGGGAGAGGAAGGUUUUGGGGGGUUAACUUUUCUUCAUAAUACAAAACCCUCCUCAUUUGGAGGAACUAAAAAAUUGUAUUGGAGGAGGGUUUUGGAGGGUUAAUAAGAAUUCUUCAAAUUUAAUUUAUGUUGUUAUAAUAUUUUUAAAAUUAAAAAUAAAGUAAUCAUAUGCAUUAAUUUAUCAUUCUCUAAAAAACUACUCUUUUAAAUUUUUUGAAAGAUUUCUCUAUUUUUCCUUAUAUUUUGCACCCCUCAAAGCCUUUCUUUUCCUUCCCCUCCAGACUCCCAAACAAAGCCUAAGAGGAGUUUGAGAGUGGCUGUGGAAGAGGAGUGGGAGGUCUCCGAUACUGACAGUCAGGGGCGGAUCUCUUCAGGGGCAGGCAGGUGCCAUGGCAUCCCCUGAAGUUACUAUAUAUACACUAUUAUGCCUAAAUGUACAACAACUUCUCAAUGGUUG